ensembl:lncRNA
AUGUUCAAAGUAAUCACCAUGUCUGUCCCUGUCUCUGUAGCCCAAGAGGAGAUCUCUCAGGUUGAAAGAAGUAAGUACAGACAAGCCCAGACUGCCACAGACAAUAUGCAUGCUGUUAAGUGCAUUCUUAGUGUUGACAAUGCUUUUUGUCUACACAGAGACCUGCACCUGCAAAGGCAGAGGCCAAACCUAAGCCAAAGAAGGGACCUGCUAAGCCUAAGAAAGCCAAGGAGGUGGAGAAAUCCAAGCCUGAGGAGAAAGCACCAGAGGCCCCUGCGGAGAAUGGAGAAGCCAAAGCUGAGGAAGAGGCACCAGCUACAGACACAGCCGAACAAAAAGAUGAGGCAGCAGAAUAGCAUCUCUCAUACCACAUCUUUUACCAGUGCUCCCUGUACCUCUUUUCUUGUACAAUUCAGGGGAAUAUUUUUAUCAACUAUUUUCUAAAUACAAGUUUUUUAGUAGUUUGAUUGUAGAGAACACUUUUUUUUAAUGAAAGAAAAAAUCAAUUUGGAGACGGGAAUUUCGUCACAUCCCACAAUUGUGCAUCGCCAUAAAGAAUUGCGGUCAUUGUUGUUACUGUCAGUGGAUUUAAUUUCAGUUUUAAAUGUGAAGGAAGGGAGGGUGCAGGACAGGUUACUGUGUCAAGUUUGUCAACACGCAAGCACAAUGUUCACAAGAACUGGGGCAACAACCGGAAGAGCUCGGCUGCGUGGAUUACAUUCCAUAUGCUUUAUAAGGGACUGCGUAUGUAAUCUGUGCUGGGGUGGGGAUGGACAAAAUCACAGGGCAACUUAUUGUUUUAUUGUUUCUAAUGAAGAACAGUGUUUUAGAAUGUGUGUAAGCUUUGUACUCAUGCAGUUUUCUUAAUCAAUCUGAUCAAUAAAGCUAAAAUCCCUAGUACUGGAGCUCUCCUUUUCAGAACUGUGCAUUGCGUGUGUUGGUUGUGUCUCUGUUCUGUGAUAGCAUCGCAAUAAAUUUGUAUAGCUGCUGUGAAAAAGGUUUUCAAUUUUCUAUAUGCAGUGUGUAAUGGUACAUUGUUAGGAUGGUAAAAAUGGAAUUUGUUUUCUUAGCCAAGUUAAUGAGGUGUGUAACCAUAAAAAGCAAACUGUUGAGACUGGCUUCCCAGUCCAACAGACAAACUGUACAUUUAUUUGAGAUGUCAAAUGCAUACCAGCAGUAGCAAUAUUCAUGUGGGUUUAAGAUAGUGUGCCGUUUCUUUUUAUUUGUUUAUAGAUGUACCUGUGUAAUGAUUUUACUGCCAAUAAAACUUGGUUGGUAGUUUUUACGCUGUUUCAUUCUGAAAAGUUAACUAUUAAGGUUGCUGAUAAAAGACUAGCAACAUUAACUCAUUGUCCUAAAAACAUUGAACUGGAUUUAAAAAGAUCUUGCUAAUGAGGCUUUGUUAAAAAUAAAUACUGCAAGAAAGCAUGUUACAUUGAUUCAGCAUAUAUAGUGAUAUUUUAUAUUAGCAGUAAGUCACUGAAUCGUUUACACAUAGUUUUAGUAUGUAAGUUUGGUAAAGUACAACAUGUUGGAGUACAUGUAAUUCUUUGGCAAAUAUAGGCUAAACCUUUAUUUUAAAACUUGUAUUUUGUAAUGUAGCUCAAAUGUGAAGAGGACCAGUUCAAUAUGGUGUGGCACUUAUUAGGGGACUAAAAAGGCAAUACAAAAGUGUAAUAGCCAAAGCAUUAUUUUGAAGGAAGUGCUGUAAAAUCAUUUCAAAUGUUUCCUGUCAUCUAUUAAAUAAUGGUUUUACAAACCCUAUCAAAGCAAAUGAAAGAACAUUUU